CCGGGUUUUCAGAGGUGCUGCACAGCCCUCUCUCCCAACCCUUUGCAGCCCUGGCCUUGCUUCGGCGUUAAACGGUGCAGGAGAGGCCUCCUCCCUCUGCUACGCAGAGGGAGCGGGUCGCCCUGUGCCUUGCCGAAUAUUUUGCCAACUCUUGCGUUAAACAAUUGCAGUCUGAGUAUAUUUUUUGCAAAUAGCGAAAUA
rnacentral:misc_RNA from 1 species